UACGAAGGGGGCUAGCGUUGUUCGGAUUUACUGGGCGUAAAGCGCACGUAGGCGGAUCGUUAAGUCGGGGGUGAAAUCCUGGAGCUCAACUCCAGAACUGCCUUCGAUACUGGCGAUCUCGAGUCCGGAAGAGGUGAGUGGAACUCCUAGUGUAGAGGUGGAAUUCGUAGAUAUUCGCAAGAACACCAGUGGCGAAGGCGGCUCACUGGCCCGAUACUGACGCUGAGGCACGAAAGCGUGGGGAGCAAACAGG
rnacentral:rRNA from 1 species